CACGGCUUGGUAGCGGGGAAUGCUGUCGUCGUACCUGGAGCGUCUGAAGAAUCCGCACUGGAGGGGGAAGCAGAAGCCGGGAGAGAGGAAGGAGAGAGAGAAACAUGGAUGUGAGAGAGAAUAACUGAUCGGGUGCCUCUUGCACACGCAGGACCAGGGAUCGUCCACACACAGACUGGGGACGGAUCCCACAACCUGGGCAUGUGCCCUGACCGGGAAUCGAACCCACAGCCUUUCAGUUACAGGACAAUGCUCCAACCAGCUGAGCCACAUCAGCCGGGGAGGGUUUUUGUUUUUGCUUCAUGAUGACCAUCAUUUUCCAGCUGAGAUCAGUGGUAAGGAAAUGCUGGCCUCAGAACUGGGUAAGGGGAGACCAACUCGGACCUGCAGUUGCCACAGUUCUGGGAAGCCUUUGCUCAUUUCCCACGGCGACUGCUGCUGGCGCGCAGUGAUAGGCCAGUGUGACCAAAACGUACUCCAACUCCAAAAACACAGUUUUUUCAGUUUCAUUAAAAUCUAGGCAUUUGCAUAGGGAUGACCUAGGCUUGUGAUCCUAAUCCAUCACGAGCCUGUGGGGGGAAAGGGGCCUAAGCUCUGCUGGUGCACUAAAUUCCACUGCCAGGUGCUGCCCUCACUCACACUCUGCCAUGGAACCUCCCCGGCCGCUAAGUAUCGGAGUAAGGAAUCACCCGAUGGAGGGACUGUCAUACCUUUCAUAAAGCUCUAUUAAAGACACAGUCCCCUCGUGAAUGUUCCCCUAUCAGAUAUCCAUCUUAUAAAAGGACCCUUCUUCAAGUUCUUCUCCAAAUUUAGAGCCAAAAAAAAAUCUCAUUCCUCUGAAAAGUGAUGUCCCUGCGUUUUUACCUAUCAUCACAUUUCUUUUUAUCUUUGGCAGCUUAGAUACUCUCUUCCUACUUCCUUAGGAAUGAAACGGGGGACAGUCCCCCCCCUUGGCUCACUUCUUUCCCCUAACAUUUCUGGUGAGCCAAAGCACUGCAGCUGGCCACACACGGCAUAAGCUACACCAUAAAGCUGUGAGGUUACCACCACGGGGGUCCUCCGCGAACAGCUACAGCAUCAGGGACAGUCUAAGACACGGGUUCCUAUAGACUUGAAAGGGGCACCUCUUACUUCGCUGAGCCAGCAGCCCUCGAACCUGCCAUGUGCACAGCAGAAUCUGAUGACCCCAGAAAUACUGCGUGGUGGGGGGGCGUUAUCUGAAUUCUCCUUCCUUAAUAAGGGGUAACAGUGCCGUGAAAGGCCCACUGAAGCAGCACGCCCUCAGGCCACAGGCAGCGGGCAGAGGAGAGAGUGACUGGCUGCGAACGAACACUGGAGAGCUGCUCACCUGAGUGCCAGCGUUGGGCAGCUUGAUGUUCUCGGUGGCAGCAGUCACAUCGAUGGAAGCCCGCACGAGAAUGUCCAAGUAGUUCAUUUUAGAAUAUUCCUGUUUGGAGACAAAGUUAAGGUAUGUAUUAGGGAGGUAAGCAAUGUCUUGGGAGCUGGCAAAUGACUUCCUGGGGAUAGCCGCGCGGAGGGCCACACCUCCAGAAACGUGCCGUUCCAUAACCUCGAGCGCAAAACAACGGAGGCCUUGCUGUCCAGGCCUCGCAGCGGGCACCGGAUGUUCACGCACUUCACGUUGACGCUGCAGUUCUGGGGAGGGAAGGAAGAGCAGGGGCUGAAGUGCAAGGGUCUGGGGAAGGCCUUCCUCCCAACCUCCAUCAGAGUUGCAACUCUUAAAACUACUUACAAGGGUCUGGUAUUUUCUUUCACCAAAUAAAAGCAAUUUUCUGCCUUCGUCAGUCUGUUUUUCAGCGAUUUCCCGUUUCUUCCUCAAGGAGUUGUGCGACUCCUGGAAAGAAUCAUAUAGCUAAUCACCCUACUGAACAUAAUUCUGCCAACAGUAGGCACUUGUAACUGUGGGGAACUGUAACCUACCCCACGAUCCUUCUGACAUGCUGACUCUGUUGUUUCUGUAAUGCUGACUCUGACUGAUACGCAGCUUACAGAUGAACAGCAUGUGUGUAUAAGAAUCCUAGGAACUAACUUCAACAGAGACAGACCCUGACCCUCAGCAUCCCCGCUCUGGGAGACGGGCUGACCUUCGACUGUGGAGCCAGGAUGACUGACCCGGGGUGAUGCACACUGGACGGUCACUGUCCUCGUUGGAAUGGACUGUGCUCGUCUGCACGCAGAGAACUUCUCAGCCCCUCCCUUGGCCUUUGUUCUGUUCUCCCUCCUUAUAAACGCCUCUGCUUGCACGGAGGUGGGCUCUGAGACGAGAGUCCUGCAUCUUCCAGGUGGCCGGCACCUGAAUGAACCUCUUCCCUUUCCCUCAGCACCUGCCUCUCGAGUAUUGGCUUUCGAAGAGGGAGGCAGCUGGACCUGCGUUCGGUUAUAAUUCUUCAUCGUGACUGUACAAACCCCGUGGGUACCUCCUCCCAAAUGAUGCCAAACUCAGAGUCCACAAUAUUUGCCCUUCUCCUGUCACCAAAGGCACAGAAAUAAUUUAAGUGUGGCCCCGACCAUGUGGCUCAGCUGGUUGGGCAUCAUCCCAUAAAGCAAACGGUCGCUGGGUUCCACUCCUGGUCAGGGCGCAGGCCUGGGUCGCAGGGUCAGUGUCCAGUAGGAGCGCACGCAGAAGGAAACAAUCAGUGUUUCUCCCUCACACUGAUGUUCUCUCCCUCUCUCUGCCUCCCUCCCUCACCCUCUCUCUAUAAACAAAUAAAGUCUUUAAAAAAUAAUUGAA